UGGGGAAUUUUGGACAAUGGGGGAAACCCUGAUCCAGCCAUCCCGCGUGUGCGAUGAAGGCCUUCGGGUUGUAAAGCACUUUUGGCAGGAAAGAAACGUCGCGGGUUAAUACCCCGCGAAACUGACGGUACCUGCAGAAUAAGCACCGGCUAACUACGUGCCAGCAGCCGCGGUAAUACGUAGGGUGCAAGCGUUAAUCGGAAUUACUGGGCGUAAAGCGUGCGCAGGCGGUUCGGAAAGAAAGAUGUGAAAUCCCAGAGCUUAACUUUGGAACUGCAUUUUUAACUACCGGGCUAGAGUGUGUCAGAGGGAGGUGGAAUUCCGCGUGUAGCAGUGAAAUGCGUAGAUAUGCGGAGGAACACCGAUGGCGAAGGCAGCCUCCUGGGAUAACACUGACGCUCAUGCACGAAAAGCGUGGGGAGCAAAACAGGAUUAGAUACCCUGGUAGUCCACGCCCUAAAACGAUGUCAACUAGCUGUUGGGGGCCUUCGGGCCUUGGUAGCGCAGCUAACGCGUGAAGUUGACCGCCU
rnacentral:rRNA from 1 species